rnacentral:rRNA from 1 species
CUUUAAAUACAACUGUGACGAACGUAAAUUAUUAUAACAAAUAAAACUUUUAACAACGGAUCUCUUGGCUCUCGCAUCGAUGAAGAACGCAGCGAAAUGCGAUAAGUAAUGUGAAUUGCAGAAUUCAGUGAAUCAUCGAAUCUUUGAACGCACCUUGCGCCCGUUGGUAUUCCGACGGGCAUGCCUGUUUGAGUGUCGUGAACAACCUCAACCUUGAUUGGUUUUACCAUCAAGGCUUGGACUUGGGUGUUGCUGCUGCAAAGUGGCUCGCCUUAAAAUCAUUAGCUGGACUUGUCUAUGACUUGGUUCGACUCGAUGUAAUAAGUAUUCAUCGGGGACAGGGUAAAACCUGGCCAAGGCUUGAUGCCGUCUGCUUCUAAUCAUGUUCUCACUAUGAGACGCUACUUUACUGUGUGGCCUCAAAUCAGGUAGGAUUACCCGCUGAACUUAAGCAUAUCAAUAAGCGGAGGAAAAGAAACUAACAAGGAUUCCCCUAGUAACGGCGAGUGAAGCGGGAUGAGCUCAAAUUUGUAAUCUGGUGGACUCAGUUCAUCCGAGUUGUAAUCUAUAGAAGUGUUUUCCGCGCUGGACCGUGUCUA